rnacentral:rRNA from 1 species
CUGGCGGCAUGCCUUACCAUGCAAGUCGAGCGGUAGCACAGGGAGCUUGCUCCUGGGUGACGAGCGGCGGACGGGUGAGUAAUGUCUGGGAAACUGCCUGAUGGAGGGGGAUAACUACUGGAAACGGUAGCUAAUACCGCAUAACGUCUUCGGACCAAAGAGGGGGACCUUCGGGCCUCUUGCCAUCAGAUGUGCCCAGAUGGGAUUAGCUAGUAGGUGAGGUAAUGGCUCACCUAGGCGACGAUCCCUAGCUGGUCUGAGAGGAUGACCAGCCACACUGGAACUGAGACACGGUCCAGACUCCUACGGGAGGCAGCAGUGGGGAAUAUUGCACAAUGGGCGCAAGCCUGAUGCAGCCAUGCCGCGUGUAUGAAGAAGGCCUUCGGGUUGUAAAGUACUUUCAGCGAGGAGGAAGGCGUUAAGGUUAAUAACCUUGGCGAUUGACGUUACUCGCAGAAGAAGCACCGGCUAACUCCGUGCCAGCAGCCGCGGUAAU